UACGUAGGGGGCGAGCGUUGUCCGGAUUUAUUGGGCGUAAAGAGCUCGUAGGCGGUCUGUCGCGUCGGAUGUGAAAGCCCGGGGCUUAACCCCGGGUCUGCAUUCGAUACGGGCAGACUAGAGUGUGGUAGGGGAGAUCGGAAUUCCUGGUGUAGCGGUGAAAUGCGCAGAUAUCAGGAGGAACACCGGUGGCGAAGGCGGAUCUCUGGGCCAUUACUGACGCUGAGGAGCGAAAGCGUGGGGAGCGAACAGG
rnacentral:rRNA from 1 species